rnacentral:rRNA from 1 species
AGUGAACGCUGGCGGUAGGCCUAACACAUGCAAGUCGAACGGCAGCACAGGAGAGCUUGCUCUCUAGGUGGCGAGUGGCGGACGGGUGAGGAAUACAUCGGAAUCUGCCCAGUCGUGGGGGAUAACGUGGGGAAACUUACGCUAAUACCGCAUACGACCUUCGGGUGAAAGAGGGGGAUCGCAAGACCUCUCGCGAUUGGAUGAGCCGAUGUCGGAUUAGCUAGUUAGCGGGGUAAUGGCCCACCAAGGCGACGAUCCGUAGCUGGUCUGAGAGGAUGAUCAGCCACACUGGAACUGAGACACGGUCCAGACUCCUACGGGAGGCAGCAGUGGGGAAUAUUGGACAAUGGGCGCAAGCCUGAUCCAGCCAUACCGCGUGGGUGAAGAAGGCCUUCGGGUUGUAAAGCCCUUUUGUUGGGAAAGAAAUCUUUCAGGCUAAUACCCUGGGAGGAUGACGGUACCCAAAGAAUAAGCACCGGCUAACUUCGUG